GCGGCCUAUCAGCUUGUUGGUGGGGUGAUGGCCUGCCAAGGCUUUGACGGGUAGCCGGCCUGAGAGGGUGGGCGGUCACACUGGGACUGAGACACGGCCCAGACUCCUGCGGGAGGCAGCAGUGGGGGAUAUUGCACAAUGGGCGGAAGCCUGAUGCAGCGACGUCGCGUGAGGGAUGGAGGCCUUCGGGUUGUGAACCUCUUUCGCCGGUGAAGAAGGUCCUGCUUUUUGGGUGGGGUUGACGGUAGCCGGGUUAUGAAGCGCCGGCUAACUACGUGCCAGCAGCCGCGGUAAUACGUAGGGCGCGAGCGUUGUCCGGAAUUAUUGGGCGUAAAGGGCUUGUAGGCGGCUGGUCGCGUCUGUCGUGAAAUCCUCUGGCUCAGCUGGGGGCGUGCGGUGGGUACGGGCUGGCUUGAGUGCGGUAGGGGAGGCUGGAACUCCUGGUGUAGCGGUGGAAUGCGCAGAUAUCAGGAGGAACACCGGUGGCGAAGGCGGGUCUCUGGGCCGUUACUGACGCUGAGGAGCGAAAGCGUGGGGAGCGAACAGGAUUAGAUACCCUGGUAGUCCAUGCUGUAAACGUUGGGCACUAGGUGUGGGGGGUCAGUCCGGGCCGUCCGCGCCGUAGCUAAC
rnacentral:rRNA from 1 species